GGAAGCUUUGGGAUCAGUGUGUUAAGUCUUUGAUGAUGAACCAUCAAGAGCAAACAAGUUUCUCAAGCCCCAUUUCUCUGAUACAGUAUCUGGAAUUCCUGAAGGAAAGUUAUGAGGGGUUAGUCUGUGGGAGUAGGAUCUGAGCCUGUGCUGCACAAGCAGAGACACAUCACUUCAAGAACUCCAGCUGAUACAAAGCCUGAAAAUUUCUAAGGCAUUACUCCUUUGAAGUCCUGCAAGACAUGUUUCAUCUUGGUAAGUUUUAAAUUAGCUUUUCUCUGUCAACAUGAAGAACCCAGAAGAGAGAAACUUUCUGAGUUUUAACCAAGUUCCCAAAUAGAAAUAUGGCUGUAAAUUAUUGUGUUUGUGAGUAGAACAACAACCUUGGUCAUAAGAUGUCCAUGUUUAUUUUAAUUUUGGUGGUGGAUGAAUGUUGAGUUGCUGGUUGUUGCAUUUCCAAGACUAAUCACUUUAGGGAGAGGAAGUCAACACACCAGCAACCAGACCACUCCAGCCUUUGUCCAGUCUUCAUGCAGCCAAAGAAGAACUGCUAUCAAGAAUUUCUGUGCCAGCAACAUCAUCUGGUUCCUUGAUUGCAGUUCCAGCUUCUAUUCCACGAGAGUCUAGAAAAUUGAGAGCUGAAGAGUUUGAAACCGCCCUCUAACCUCAAAGAUCUAUUUUUUCCUUUUUACUGUUUUUGUUUUUAUUAGCUGAGAGACAGCCUUUUUAUAUUUUUUUGGGGUAUGAGAGUAUGGUUGUAUGUAUGAAUGUCUGUCUAUAAAGUCCACAUUGGGAACAUGCCACACACAGAAAAUGAUCUAGGUUUUAACUGGCUUAAGUGUUAUCUCAUAAAAAAAAUCAUUAGUGUAUGUUCUGUAUUUAAACCGUUAUAUAUAAAUAUUGGUACAUAAGUUGUCAAACUUCCACUUAAGAAAAAAAGGUUGUAUUAGUCUGUCCCAUAUCUGUUGAGUAGGGAAGAAAGGGUUUAGACCUCAUGCAACAAUUGAAAUCAAAGGAAUAAGCUUUAUAAUUGGCACUAAGAUUAUGGUUCAGACAUUGGAUAAUUUGGUUUCAGUAUUAAGAUAUUUUACCAUCUCCCAGUUAUAGCUUUGAUUGUCUUUGGUAAACUUCUUUAGCUGGGAUUUAUAAUCAGAUGGACAGCAAUCUCCUUAGAUCUCUUCUUCAGAAUUAUAAGAGUUGAUUAUCUGUUGUAUUAAUCUAGUGAUUUAACCAGUCUGAUAAUUUAA